AUCCUUGGAGAGGCCCGGGCAAGGCAAGCGCAUCAUUCCGCACGCCUCGCACCCAGCCUUUGCUCGGCGAUGCGCCUCAGCCCUGGCCCGGGUACCCCGAACCCUGGGGUCUUUCUGGAUAUUGCCCUGCCUCGAGCCCAGAUGCUGGAAUCCUAAUACAGAACCCAGAACCCAUCUCUCCGUCCAAAUCAAUGAUCAGCGGCCCCCCAGAGCUAAUGUUCCUGGGCGGGGCUCGGAGAAGGCAGCUUCGCAGGCAGAACGCGCGCUCCUCGCUGCCCCAGGCGCCGCUGGUACGAACCCUCCCCUACCCAGGGCUCAUCCACAGCCUGGCACAUCGGUCCGCGACUCUGGGGCUGCCUCCGGGAACCUGGGCCGCGCCUGCCGGUUAGAAACCCGGGGUUAAGAAAAAAGCCAAGGUUCCUCCAUCCCGGGCCAGGCAGGGCUGCUCUCCCGGUCCUGCCUGCCUGCUGGCUUUCCCUUCCUCCUCCUUUGCGCCUGUUUUUCCCCCUCCUUCGCAGUCUCGUCCUUGUUCUUCCCUCUCUUAAGUCGCUUUUCCUCAAUCACACCGGGCCAACACCCUCCCCACCGCACGCCCCCCAAGACAGCCUGGGAUUCAAAAUGCAGUUGGAACACGGAUCACUUGAAAGAAAGCUCUUCAGGGGAAAGAAUUGGAAUGAAAUGAAAAGAAAGGGUGGAGGAGAGAGAGAGACCCCACCCGGAUAGUCCAGAACAAGCAGUAACAAAGCAAAGUCCGAGGGAGCUUCACGCUCAACCCCCGGCCAGGCUCCAGAGCUGAAGUUCUCCUAACUCGUCCCAAGAAUAGGUAAAAGAAACCAAGCUAGGGGCCGUGCCCUGCCCCCAUCCUGUGGGCCGGGUUGGGGGAGGGGGGGUUCUCCAGCGGCCAGAAGCUCACUGGCUCUACCCGGGACCCUGAGCUGCCUAGGGCUGGGGGAGGCGUCCGAGCAGUCGCGGAGCCUGCCAGACCCUCGGCUAGAAUGGGGACCCGCUGUCCAGCCGAGGCUGGCGGAGGCGCACCGGGGGCGCAGAGGGCGAUGCUAGUAGUCUGGACCCAAAGGACUGCAGGAAGGAGACCGUGAGGAAGCGUCUGUGCCUGGGAAGCCCCAGCUCCUGCUUGGGCCAGGCAGCCAGCACCUACCUGAUCCCGGGGAACCGGAGUCCGGCGGCGGCAGGAGAGCUGCCAGGUAGGACGGCGGGCAAAGCGCUUCUUCAAGUUCCUGCGCUGGAGUCACCACCCGAGAGGCAUCGCCGUCUGGCGUUGGUGUCUGAGCAGAAGCCGCAGGAACCAGCGGGAGCAGCAGGAGGAGCUGCGGGACUCGUUUGCCGAGGCUCGUGUUCUGCUCAAAAGUUUGUAGACG
rnacentral:lncRNA from 1 species